rnacentral:rRNA from 1 species
CUACGGGGGGCAGCAGUCGAGAAUCUUCCGCAAUGGACGAAAGUCUGACGGAGCGACGCCGCGUGCGGGAUGAAGGCCUUCGGGUUGUAAACCGCUGUCAGUGGGGAGGAAAUGCAUCAGGGUUCUCCCUGGUGUUUGACCGAUCCGCAGAGGAAGCGCAGGCUAAGUUCGUGCCAGCAGCCGCGGUAACACGAACUGCGCGAACGUUAUUCGGAAUCACUGGGCUUAAAGAGUUCGUAGGCGGCCUUUCAAGUCGGGUGUGAAAUCCCUCGGCUCAACCGAGGAAUUGCGCCUGAUACUGUUGGGCUUGAGGGGGAUAGGGGUGAGCGGAACUGAUGGUGGAGCGGUGAAAUGCGUUGAUAUCAUCAGGAACACCGGUGGCGAAGGCGGCUCACUGGAUCUCUUCUGACGCUGAGGAACGAAAGCUAGGGGAGCAAACAGGAUUAGAUACCCGAGUAGUC